AGUGAACGCUGGCGGUAGGCCUAACACAUGCAAGUCGAACGGCAGCACAGUAAGAGCUUGCUCUUACGGGUGGCGAGUGGCGGACGGGUGAGGAAUACGUCGGAAUCCACUUUUUCGUGGGGGAUAACGUAGGGAAACUUACGCUAAUACCGCAUACGACCUACGGGUGAAAGCAGGGGAUCUUCGGACCUUGCGCGAUUGAAUGAGCCGAUGUCGGAUUAGCUAGUUGGCGGGGUAAAGGCCCACCAAGGCGACGAUCCGUAGCUGGUCUGAGAGGAUGAUCAGCCACACUGGAACUGAGACACGGUCCAGACUCCUACGGGAGGCAGCAGUGGGGAAUAUUGGACAAUGGGCGCAAGCCUGAUCCAGCCAUACCGCGUGGGUGAAGAAGGCCUUCGGGUUGUAAAGCCCUUUUGUUGGGAAAGAAAAGCAGCAGGUUAAUACCCCGCUGUUCUGACGGUACCCAAAGAAUAAGCACCGGCUAACUUCGU
rnacentral:rRNA from 1 species